CAAAAGCAACCCCGGCCCAGAUAAAAGUAGGGUUUGCAUAUAAAUAUCACUAAAGCCAUUUCCAAAGCCCUAAUUCCGCUUGUUCCAGAGUCUUCAUUUUUCGCGGCUGCGCAGAGCUAAACGAAGAAGCAAGGCUAGGGCUUUUUUCUCACUCCGUCGCCAUGAGAGCCAAGUGGAAGAAGAAGCGUAUGAGGAGGUUGAAGAGGAAGCGCCGAAAGAUGAGACAGAGAUCCAAGUAGAAGCGAGAGUGUAGCACUAUCACCAUCGCUAUGCACAAGCAACUGCCUCGAUCAACCUCUUCAUCGGCGUUUCUGGCUGUUCCUUUGGUUUUUGAAGCUUUAUAAUUUAGCUUUCGUUUUAGGGUUAUUUGUGAAACUUUUGGCAACGUUUUGUGGACACCUUAACAACUUUUGUUUGUUAGUGACUCUGUUAAAGAUUUUGAUAUUUGCAUUAUGAGAUGGGUUUUAUGAA